GUCGUGAGAUGUUGGGUUAAGUCCCGCAACGAGCGCAACCCUCGUCCUAUGUUGCCAGCGGUUCGGCCGGGGACUCAUAGGAGACUGCCGGGGUCAACUCGGAGGAAGGUGGGGAUGACGUCAAAUCAUCAUGCCCCUUAUGUCUAGGGCUGCACACAUGCUACAAUGGCCGGUACAAAGGGCUGCGAAGCCGCGAGGUGGAGCGAAUCCCAAAAAGCCGGUCUCAGUUCGGAUCGGGGUCUGCAACUCGACCCCGUGAAGUCGGAGUCGCUAGUAAUCGCAGAUCAGCAGCGCUGCGGUGAAUACGUUCCCGGGCCUUGUACACACCGCCCGUCACGUCACGAAAGUCGGUAACACCCGAAGCCAGUGGCCCAACCCUUCGGGGAGGGAGCUGUCGAAGGUGGGAUCGGCGAUUGGGACGAAGUCGUAACAAGGUAGCCGUACCGGAAGGUGCGGCUAGAUCACCUCCUUUCUAAGGAGCACCUGGCGGCCCUCGGGCCGUCCAGACCCACUAGUCGGAUGUCCAUGCCGACGUGGUGCUCAUGGGUGGAACGCUGACCAGUUCGGCCGGACCGGUGGUCGCCACGCGAGUACUACCCCUGCUGGGGUGUGGAAAGGGUGGCCGAGCACCGAGCCGGCCGUAGGCACGCUGUUGGGUCCUGAGGGAGCGGGCUAGUUAGCCCCCUCGGGCACCGUAACGCACCGCAACUUUCAGUUGCGGUGCGUACGACGGUCAGGACCGGUCGUUCGUCGUACGACGCCGCAUGGCGCACGCGACGGACCAGGCGACCGGGACCGCCCGUACCUUGAGAACUGCACAGUGGACGCGAGCAUCUUUGUGGCCAAGUUAUUAAGGGCGCACGGUGGAUGCCUUGGCACCAGGAGCCGAAGAAGGACGUAGGAGGCUGCGAUAAGCCUCGGGGAGCUGCCAACCGAGCCGUGAUCCGAGGAUUU
rnacentral:sRNA from 1 species